rnacentral:rRNA from 1 species
GUAGGUGGCAAGCGCUGUCCGGAAUUAUUGGGGCGUAAAGCGCGCGCAGGCGGUUCUUUAAGUCUGAUGUGAAAGCCCACGGGCUCAACCGUGGAGGGUCAUUGGAAACUGGAGAACUUGAGUACAGAAGAGGAAAGCGGAAUUCCACGUGUAGCGGUGAAAUGCGUAGAGAUGUGGAGGAACACCAGUGGCGAAGGCGGCUUUCUGGUCUGUAACUGACGCUGAGGCGCGAAAGCGUGGGGAGCAAACAGGAUUAGAUACCCUGGUAGUCCACGCCGUAAACGAUGAGUGCUAAGUGUUAGGGGGUUUCCGCCCCUUAGUGCUGCAGCUAACGCAUUAAGCACUCCGCCUGGGGAGUACGGCCGCAAAGGCUGA